ACUCCAGUGUAGGCGGUCAGAGUUUGUCAACCCUGAGUUUUCCUGAUAACCCUGAGUUAACUCUGAGUAGGUUGAACUCCCUUCGUAGUACAGGCCUCAUGUUUUUUUCUGUUACUGAGACAUGCUUUAAGAAAAACCAAAAACAGUGUGAAUAUACCAAAAUAAAAGCAAAGAGUGUAGAAUAGCCAAUAUGCAAGCACUAGCCUAUACCAGGGAAACGUGGGAACAGAAUUAAAAUAGAUAAACCUGGACCGAUGGAAGUAUGUUAGCGCAUUGUUUGGUGCAAUAGUAUUCGUAAUAUAGCUAAACCUAAGUUAUUAUUGUAUAUGCAAAGAUAUUACUGUUAGCACUGACGUUUAAUUUGGUUUCCACCAUGAUGCUCUGUUGCUUGAGUGAACGCAGAAUCCACAUCACGCUGUUUCAUCUCUUUACCAGUAGAUGGUAGUAUGAGUGUAUUUAAAUCUUUUCACACAGUUUUUAAUUCUUGUUUUUUUUAUCCAGUCUAUGAUUUAAACUAAGCCUAUGGCUGGUUUGUAUUUUUGUAAAGUAGUAAACUAGUUAUUAAUAAAGAUGUAUUUAUUGCGGUUCAUUUCGUUUGAUAUUUAGUUUAUGGUUUAUUUGCAACCUAUGUAGCUACAACAUAGGCUAUAUUUAUUUACAUGCAUAUUUUAUAUCAUUUCAGAACCAGACCUAUAUGGAAAAAUGAGCAUAUGUUGAUCAUGUGGGAAUAAAUAAAGGACAACUGAAAAGUAGA